rnacentral:rRNA from 1 species
CCUACGGGAGGCUGCAGUAAGGAAUAUUGGUCAAUGGAGGAAACUCUGAACCAGCCAUCCCGCGUGAAGGAUGAAGGGGCUCUGCCUUGUAAACUUCUUUUGUCUGGGGCGAAAAAGCUCGAUUUAUCGAGAACUGACGGUACCAGAAGAAUACGCACCGGCUAACUCCGUGCCAGCAGCCGCGGUAAUACGGAGGGUGUAGGCAUUAUCCGGAAUCACGGGGUUUAAGGGGUGCUAAGACGGCAGAGGAGAAAGGCUGUGGCGUAACCAUGGAAUUGCCAUUGAGACUGCAGAGCUUGAAUGAGGUUGAGGUUGGCGGAAUGUGACAUGUAGCGGUGAAAUGCUUAGAUAUGUCAUGGAACACCGAUUGCGAAGGCAGCUGACUGGACCUAUAUUGACGCUGAGGCACGAAAGCGUGGGGAGCGAACAGGAUUAGAUACCCGGGUAGUC